rnacentral:rRNA from 1 species
AACGAACGCUGGCGGCAGGCUUAACACAUGCAAGUCGAACGCUCGUAGCAAUACGGGAGUGGCGGACGGGUGAGUAACGCGUGGGAACGUGCCCUGAGGUACGGAAUAACUGAGGGAAACUUCAGCUAAUACCGUAUGAGCCCCGAGAGGGGAAAGGAUUUAUCGCCUUGGGAGCGGCCCGCGUCGGAUUAGCUAGUUGGUGGGGUAACGGCCUACCAAGGCUUCGAUCCGUAGCUGGUCUGAGAGGACGAUCAGCCACACUGGGACUGAGACACGGCCCAGACUCCUACGGGAGGCAGCAGUGGGGAAUCUUGCGCAAUGGGGGCAACCCUGACGCAGCCAUGCCGCGUGAACGAUGAAGGCCUUAGGGUUGUAAAGUUCUUUUACCCGUGACGAUGAUGACGGUAACGGGGGAAUAAGCUCCGGCUAACUUCGUG